rnacentral:rRNA from 1 species
AUUGAACGCUGGCGGCAUGCUUUACACAUGCCAGUCGAACGGUAACAGGCCUUCGGGUGCUGACGAGUGGCGCACGGGUGAGUAAUGCAUCGGAACGUGCCCAGAGGUGGGGGAUAACGCAGCGAAAGCUGUGCUAAUACCGCAUGUGAUCUGAGGAUGAAAGCGGGGGACCAGGCAGCAAUGUUUGGCCUCGCGCCUUUGGAGCGGCCGAUGUCAGAUUAGGUAGUUGGUGGGGUAAAGGCCUACCAAGCCGACGAUCUGUAGCUGGUCUGAGAGGACGACUAGCCACACUGGGACUGAGACACGGCCCAGACUCCUACGGGAGGCAGCAGUGGGGAAUUUUGGACAAUGGGCGCAAGCCUGAUCCAGCAAUGCCGCGUGCGGGAAGAAGGCCUUCGGGUUGUAAACCGCUUUUGUACGGAACGAAAAGGCUCUGGCUAAUACCUGGGGCUGAUGACGGUACCGUAAGAAUAAGCACCGGCUAACUACGUG